UACGGGGGGGAGCAAGCGUUGUUCGGAUUUACUGGGCGUAAAGGGCGCGUAGGCGGUCAGCACAAGUCAGUUGUGAAAUCUCCGGGCUUAACCCGGAAAGGUCAACUGAUACUGUGCGACUAGAGUGCGGAAGGGGCAACUGAAUUCUCGGUGUAGCGGUGAAAUGCGUAGAUAUCGAGAGGAACACCUGCGGCGAAGGCGGGUUGCUGGGCCGACACUGACGCUGAUGCGCGAAAGCCAGGGGAGCGAACGGG
rnacentral:rRNA from 1 species